rnacentral:rRNA from 1 species
CCCUUGGGUUGUAAACUCCUGUCGGCUGGGAAGAAAUCGUUCGGGGCUAAUACCUUCGGACGUUGACUGUACCAGCAAAGGAAGCCCCGGCUAACUCUGUGC